GCUUAGAGAGGGGUCAAUGUCCUAUCAGCUAGUUGGUAGGGUAAUGGCCUACCAAGGCUAAGACGGGUAGCCGGCCUGAGAGGGUGGUCAGCCACACUGGGACUGAGACACUGCCCAGACUCCUACGGGAGGCUGCAGUCGAGAAUCUAUCGCAAUGCCCGAAAGGGUGACGAAGCGACGCCGCGUGUGGGAAGAAGGCCUUCGGGUUGUAAACCACUGUCGGGAGUUAAGAAAUGCAAGGGUGUUAAUAGCAUCCUUGCUUGACUAAGGCUCCGGAGGAAGCCACGGCUAACUCUGUGCCAGCAGCCGCGGUAAUACAGAGGCGGCAAGCGUUGUUCGGAAUUAUUGGGCGUAAAGAGCACGUAGGCGGCUUUGUAAGUCAGUUGUGAAAGCCUUCUGCUCAACGGAAGAACAGCAUCUGAUACUGCAAGGCUAGAGUGCGGAAGGG
rnacentral:rRNA from 1 species